AAGCCUUUAAAGCUUCGCUUGUAGAUGAGUCUGCGUCUUAUUAGCUAGUUGGUGGGGUAAGAGCCUACCAAGGCUAUGAUAAGUAACCGGCCUGAGAGGGUGAUCGGUCACACUGGAACUGAGAUACGGUCCAGACUCCUACGGGAGGCAGCAGCUAAGAAUCUUCCGCAAUGGGCUAAAGCCUGACGGAGCGACACUGCGUGAACGAAGAAGGUCGAAAGAUUGUAAAGUUCUUUUAUAAGUGAGGAAUAAGCUUUGUAGGAAAUGACAAAGCGAUGACGUUAAUUUAUGAAUAAGCCCCGGCUAAUUACGUGCCAGCAGCCGCGGUAAUACGUAAGGGGCGAGCGUUGUUCGGGAUCAUUGGGCGUAA
rnacentral:rRNA from 1 species